rfam:Burkholderia peredens type strain LMG 29314 genome assembly, contig: contig000002
GCCGUGUCUAGCCCGACGGGGCGAAAACCGGGUGCCCUACCCGGCUGGCACGGCUCCCAAAUAGGG